rnacentral:rRNA from 1 species
CCUACGGGUGGCAGCAGUGGGGAAUAUUGCACAAUGGGGGAAACCCUGAUGCAGCGACGCCGCGUGAGUGAAGAAGUAUCUCGGUACGUAAAGCUCUAUCAGCAGGAAAGAAAAUGACGGUACCUGACUAAGAAGCCCCGGCUAACUACGUGCCAGCAGCCGCGGUAAUACGUAGGGGGCAAGCGUUAUCCGGAUUUACUGGGUGUAAAGGGAGCGUAGACGGCGCUGCAAGUCCGGAGUGAAAGCCCAUGGCUUAACCAUGGUACUGCUCUGGAAACUGUAUGGCUGGAGUGCAGGAGAGGUAAGUGGAAUUCCUAGUGUAGCGGUGAAAUGCGUAGAUAUUAGGAGGAACACCAGUGGCGAAGGCGGCUUACUGGACUGUAACUGACGUUGAGGCUCGAAAGCGUGGGGAGCAAACAGGAUUAGAUACCCCAGUAGUC